rnacentral:rRNA from 1 species
AUGUCGAGUCCUCAGGAAAUCCAGCUCCAGAUCAGAGGUAGUGUCCCGGAGCAAGAAGAAUCCGGCCAUGGCGAGAACGGCGCGGGACCGAAGGCCGCCGAGCGCCGACGGCCGGGGACACGCGGCGUCAGGUGGUGGCUGAUGGUGCUGCUGGACAUGCUCAUCGUGCUCUGCGGGCAGACCGUGGCCACCCUCCUCGGCCGCUACUACUACAACUCCGGCGGCAACAGCAAGUGGAUGGCCACGCUCACGAUCUCCGGCGGCUCGCCCCUGCUGGCCAUCCUCCUGCUCCUCACGCCGCGCGACCCCGUCGGCGAGCCCCGGCCGGCGGCGGCCAAGAUGGUGCCCAUCUACCUCGGGCUCGGCACCCUCAUCGGCUUCGACAACCUCAUGUACUCGUACGCGCUGCAGUACCUGCCGGUGUCCACCUUCGCGCUGGUGGCCGCCACGCAGCUCGCCUUCAACUCCGUCACCUCCCGCCUCAUCAACGCGCAGCGCUUCACGGCGCUCAUCGCCAACUCGGUCGUCGUGCUCACCUUCUCGGCCGCGCUGCUCGGCGUCGGCUCCUCCUCCGACGGAACCUCCGCCGCCGACCUGCCGCGCGGCAAGUACACGCUGGGCUUCAUCCUCACCCUCUCCGCGUCCGCCGUGUUCGCGCUCAUCCUGUCCCUCUUCGAGGUCACCUUCGAGAAGGCGGUCCGGGGGAGGACGCUCCGGUGGGUGCUGCGGGUGCAGAUGUGCACCAACUUCGUGGCGGCGACGGUGGCCGUGUGCGGGCUGCUGGCGUCGGGGGAGUGGCGGACGAUCCCGGGGGAGAUGGCGGCGUUCGAGGACGGGCGGGCGAGGUACGUGGCGACGCUGGUGGGGACGGCCGUGUCGUGGCAGGCCAUGUCGGUGGCGACGCUGCGGCUGAUCACCAGGGUGUCGUCGCUGUUCGCCAACGUGACGGGCACCGUGUCGCUGCCGCUGGUGCCGGUGUUCGCCGUGGUGCUGUUCGGGGACCGGAUGACGGGGAUCAAGGCCGUCGCCAUGCUCAUGGCCGUCUGGGGCUUCCUCUCCUACGUCUACCAGCACUACCUCGACGGCCGGCGCGCCGCGGCCAUGGGGGGUCAAGGCGGAGCGGCAGAGUGCUGCGUGUGCAAGGCGCGCGCGGGCGGCGAGGCCGCUUUGCCCGCCUGA